rnacentral:tRNA from 1 species
GCAUUAGUGGUUCAGUGGUAGAAUUCUCACAUUCCAUGUGGAAAGUUCAGGUUUGAUUCCCGGCCAGUGCA